UUUUUCUGUUAGAUUAAUCUUUACUUGACUUUUCAGACAAUUUUGCCAUUGCCAUCUCUGUAUAGGCCACACCAUACAUUGGGUUAGCAUUACCUUAUACCCUGUCUGCCACUAAGAAACCAACUUGCCCUUAAAGUAUGAAAGCCUGUCAAAAUACAUUUCCUAAAUGGCAGCUCUACAUUUAUAAAUCAAAUAGGCCUACUUUUUUUUUUUUUUUGCAAAGGUUAAGCUUCUACCCCACCAUCACCAAUCCUGCUCACCACAUCAAGUACAUAUCUAACCUCUAUGUUUUGUUCUAUCCUCUGUGAAACAGCCUGAAAAAUGAAGAGGUUGGAGGCAUUGCAGAGGUCACAGACAAAAUUGAAGAGCUGGUUCUUGCAUCUCAGAGUCUCCCGGAUGUCACUUUAGCAAUCAGGGAGCUCACCAGUCUGGCUGCAGUUCAAAGACUGACCCUGACUCAUUCACAGCUACAGGCCAUUAAGCACGGGUUCUCCUGUGCUUUUUGCUUGAAGUUGAUGACAGAGCCACUCUUCACGGAGUGUUGCCAAAACCUCAUUGGCUGCAAAACUUGUGUGGAGGAGUGGCUUAGGAGCUCAGACACCUGUGCAAAAUGUAGGGGAAGUGUUGAAGGAAACAGCAUGUUUGAGGUUAAGGGCCUAUCAGAGGCACUGUCUGUCCUGAGGUCUCUUUUUGAAAAGGAAUAAUAUGUAUUUGUUUACUCACAAACAGGCAGGUAACAAAGUGUUUUUUGUUUUUGUUUUAUUUUUUUUAAAAUUGGGUCAGAGUUCAAACGCCCACUGCCACCAGUUCCACUCAUUUACGUUCUUCUUACAUGCUUUACAAGUGCCAACAAUUUUUUUUACACAUUGCGCCGAGUUGUGGUAAUGAGAAAGAGAAGCGCCUCUUUGUAUGGUGUGAAAUCAUUGUUGACAGCUCUAGACAUCAGUUCAGAAAUGUCAGAAUAUUGUUCUGCAAACUGGUUCUCAGCCAUUAGUUUGUCUUCUUCUGUUAAAAAUGGAUCUACUCCAAAGGUAGAUUGUGGUGUCAGGGAGGAUCCCAGCUGUUGUCUGUAGAGUUCUGCUGCUUCAGCUGAGUGAGGCA
rnacentral:lncRNA from 1 species